GAUGAACGCUGGCGGCGUGCCUAAUACAUGCAAGUCGAGCGAACAGACGAGGAGCUUGCUCCUCUGACGUUAGCGGCGGACGGGUGAGUAACACGUGGAUAACCUACCUAUAAGACUGGGAUAACUUCGGGAAACCGGAGCUAAUACCGGAUAAUAUAUUGAACCGCAUGGUUCAAUAGUGAAAUACGGUUUUGCUGUCACUUAUAGAUGGAUCCGCGCCGCAUUAGCUAGUUGGUAAGGUAACGGCUUACCAAGGCAACGAUGCGUAGCCGACCUGAGAGGGUGAUCGGCCACACUGGAACUGAGACACGGUCCAGACUCCUACGAGAGGCAGCAGUAGGGAAUCUUCCGCAAUGGGCGAAAGCUUGACGGAGCAACGCCGCGUGAGUGAUGAAGGUCUUCGGAUCGUAAAACUCUGUUAUUAGGGAAGAACAAAUGUGUAAGUAACUAUGCACGUCUUGACGGUACCUAAUCAGAAAGCCACGGCUAACUACGUG
rnacentral:rRNA from 1 species